GUUAAUGCAGUAUAAAAUGCAACGGAUAGAGUUAGGGACAGAUCUUUGGCUGGAGUAAAUGAAUUUGACUUUGAAUACAUUUUGCUAACUUAAAUGGUGUUAACUUGAUUUAUGUGAGCUGAGGAGUUAACCCUUAUGCACUCUGCUUACUUUACUUCUGUGCCGAGACAUCAAAAUGACUGUUGGGGUGCUUCUGAACAUUUCUGAUUUAUUACAGGUCUCUACCCACAUUGCCUAUGGAUUUCUUUGGCUCAAGAAGUAUAUUUUUAUUUGCUGCUGCAGAAACAUUUUAAAUGCUAAAAUCUUAAUUCUAGAUAGUAUGUAAUAUUUUGUUUUGGACUAGCAGUUUCUUCUGCUUUAUUUUUCCAUUAUUUGACUAUUUUAGGAUGUUUACUAUCUCUCCCAGAUUUCUGUUCCCAUCUGCAGAUCUUUCUAUCACAAUGAUGAACCUGGCAAUUUCUGGUAAAUACAAGACUACUAAUUUUAUCUUGUCUUGGCCUUGAGUGAAAUCCUAUACUUCCUUGUUCCUGAAUAAAAAAUGCACGAUAAAUGAAUUGUACAGGGAGCACUGAAGGGCUACUGAUGACCUAUAGUUAUGUACAGUGUGUAACUCAUCCUUUUACCCAAUUAGGAUGAUCAGAACUUUUCUUUCUGUUGCUGAAAACCUGAGUGUGCUUCAGAGCCUGGAAGGGAGCAGAACAUCCUUGGUGUGUGCUCAGCUGCCUGGAGGUGCCCUCUCAGGAGUUAACAGCAGGAAGAUCUCCGAGAUACCAAACUGCCUGAGCACAGAUAGGCCCUGGGAGCUGCUGUGGCCUGGCCCUGGCUCUGACACCAGUUUUUCAUGACUUUGCUGGAAACAAGGAAAAUGUCUAGGAUUUCUGUGCUGCUCAACUCUCUGGAGUCUAUCAGCAGCAACUCCACCAAUUGGGCUUGGAACCAAGAGUUUUAUGGAACAACUAUUUGGAGGUGUUUUCAAGCAAGGUGAGAAAAUAGCCCAGGUUGUGUAAGCUGUUCUAUUAUUUAGAUUUUUUCUGUUGUAUAAAUAAAUAAUUAAUAAUAAUAAUAAUGUCAAUAAAUUACAAUCCAGGUGAUAUUGCAGC